GAAUUCCUAAACAUAUAAACUACAUGGGAACUCAUAAAUUUCCUUUACAAAAGGAAAGAAUAAGCAGAACAGCCAUCAACGUAUGCAGCCAUAUGUCACCGAAUAUUACAAAUUUUUGUUUGCAACCCAUUACGCCAAGCCCCAAUGUCACAAUAGAGCAAGAGAAAUUAUUUGCCAAGGCCCGGCUAGAGAAUUUACUAUACAAAGUACAUAAUUGAAACUCGCCAAUUUUCCUUGAGUUGGAAAGAUGUGGAGUGAGAAAAGUUGGUUAACUUAAAUUAAAAUCAAGAGAAAACUUUGUCCGUAUGGGUUUUUAUUUCUCAUUUUCACGCAUAAUUUUGUUGGGUGGGCGGAGGGGGGUUGAGAUUUGAAAUGAAGAUGGUCAAUAAGGGGGGAAAAUCAAAUAAAUUACUACCUCCGUCCCAAAAUGUUUGUCCGGUCCGCAAAACGAAGACUAAAAAAUAAUGCAUUUCUUUCAAUAAAAAACUCAAACUUCUUUCAUAAAUUACAAGAACUCAUUGAUAUCUAAUGAAUUGUUGAAAAAAAUUUGAAUUUUUCUUGCAAAAAUUGUAUUA